AGCAUGCUGUAACUUCAGCCUACCACCCGCAGAGCAAUGGGCAAGAUGAGCGCUCAAACCAGAACAUUAAGCGCCAUCUUGCAAAGUACUGUAAUGAGGAGCAGAAUGACUGGGACGUCUAUCUGCAACACGCUGUUUAUUCGAUAAACACCUCGAAGCAGCGUUCCACAAAGACACGCCCAAAGAUGUCGGCAUCGCUUCUGAUGUCCAGGAAUUGAGUGUAUUGUGCGACAUCUCGAUGGAAGCUGUAGGUGCUGAAUGUAGGUAUUUCUUCAUUUAUACAUCUCCACAUAUGUACUGUCAUGUCAAGUUCAAUGUAGAGUGUUGAAUGUGUUUUAUGUUCCUUUUUCCUAAAAGGUGCAGAUGUUGAUCACACAUUGGAAGUUGUCGUGCCACGUUUCGCGACUUAGACAGUCUGGCAGGCCCAGAGUUCAACUGGCUGACCGAUGAUAUUGUGAAUACGUGCGUUGCAGUGAUUGCUGCAGAUCACAAACAACGUUCCACUGACAAAGCCGUGUUCCACGCCCUUACCACAGACGCAUACACGUUGUGGUGUCGUGACUGG